CUCUUCCUGGCCCAAUGUGACGGCAAUCCAGAAGCAUGCUGUCUAGGCUGCUUAGGCCUGCUCCAGGAGACAGAAUGUAGGGAACAGGCCCCAAGGCUAGAGCUGGGGUUCUCAAAACAUGAAGUUGAUGAAAAACGGAUGCUCAGGUCCUGGGAGGGGGGUUCUGUGCCAACACUCCCCAGGGAUGCCAGGGAUGCUGCAGACCGAGGGAAAGGAGACUUCCCAUCUCUUACCUGCCAGAUGGAGCAAGGCAAAGAUGGGGGACUCUGUCCCUGAUGGGCAGGAGGAGACAAUCUGACCUCUGUGAUUCUUGCUCUUUGUGAGAAGGGCUGAUCAUUGAGGUAACCUGGGUCAGACUUGUCCAUGGUCUGGAAAGGUCAGAGUUCCGGUGCAAGAGAGAUUCUUCAAAGAGAUGUAAGCAGAAGGUGAUGGCCGUGGAGUCUGGGGAGCCCUUUCUGAAGAGCAAAUGGGUAGCUGUCUCUGCAGAGAGCUGAUGGAUGUGCCUCUAGGCUCCCAUUCCUCCACCCCUGCAGAUGGCCUUCCUCCCUGGGGGGGGGGGGGUAGGAAAUCCUCCCAUGUUCACCCUGGAAUUAAACCAGUGUUUAAAG
rnacentral:lncRNA from 1 species